GGAGCGGUGCCCGAGAGGCUGAAGGGGACGGAUUGCUAAUCCGUUAUACGGGUAUAAUCCUGUAUCGAGGGUUCGAAUCCCUCCCGCUCCG
rnacentral:tRNA from 1 species